rnacentral:lncRNA from 1 species
AAAAAUCUAUAUCACAUAACUUAUUAGGAAGGCAAUUAAACAAAACCCAUGCACUAACCACAAUCUAUACAAGCAUAACCCCAAGAUAAAGAAUUAGCUGCACAAAGGGAGAGAUAGUAAGAUCAAUCCUUAGAAAAUACAGAGAAUGCAAAAUUCAAGCUUUGUUUUCAAUAAAUAUUCAAAGGAAACCACCAAUUCUUUACUUGAGAUUAACUUCAAAUAACGUUUAAUGAUGGUAGAAAUAAGCUUAAAACCCCCUUUUGACCCCAAAUUCAUAUUUUUAUAAUUAUUAAAAAAUGCGACAACACUCUUAAUCCGCUUGAACAAAUCCAGAGCAAAUCUAGAGUGGAUCCAGGACAGAUCAAGAGAAGAUCCAUAGAAUAUUGGGCGCAUAUGUGGUUAUUUUGGCCAUCUUGGCUACCCGCUUGUGCAAGUGGCCUCCCGACACAUCCAUGAAACCUUUAGGGAUCUUUUUAUAUCAUAUUUCACCACCCAUUGUCUAAUGGAUUUCGCUCUUCAAUUUCAACCUUUACCUUCACAAAUGAGAAUUAUAGAUGAGAUUAACACCAAAUCAAUAAAAAGCCUUAUAAUUUAUGCUUAAAAGGUGCUAACAUGUCG